rnacentral:lncRNA from 1 species
AGAGGCGCCGGUUGGACUCACGGGCGGGGCAUGAUGGGUAACAGGACCGGCCUUCAAUAAUCUGGAGAAUCUUGUCUUUGGCAAAGGAUUCCAAGCAAAGAUCUUCCCUGAGAUUCUCCUGUGCCUCCUGUUGGCUCUCUUUGCAUCUGGCCUCAUCCACCGAGUCUGUGUCACCACCUGCUUCAUCUUCUCCAUGGUUGGUCUGUACUACAUCAACAAGAUCUCCUCCACCCUGUACCAGGCAGCAGCUCCAGUCCUCACACCAGCCAAG